rnacentral:rRNA from 1 species
UACGUAGGGGGCAAGCGUUGUCCGGAUUUAUUGGGCGUAAAGCGCGUGUAGGCGGCCACACAGGUCCGCUGUGAAAACUCGAGGCUCAACCUCGAGCUGUCGGUGGAAACCGUGUGGCUAGAGUCCGGAAGAGGAGACUGGAAUUCCCGGUGUAGCGGUGGAAUGCGCAGAUAUCAGGAAGAACACCCGUGGCGAAGGCGGUUCUCUGGGACGGUACUGACGCUGAGACGCGAAAGCGUGGGGAGCGAACAGG